rfam:Struthio camelus australis contig44124, whole genome shotgun sequence.
CCAAAGGCUCUUUUCAGAGCCACCCACUUGCCCUAAAAAGAGCUGU